UACGUAGGUGGCAAGCGUUGUCCGGAAUUAUUGGGCGUAAAGCGGGCGCAGGCGGGCUUUUAAGUCUGAUGUGAAAGCCCACGGCUCAACCGUGGAGGGUCAUUGGAAACUGGGAGACUUGAGUGCAGAAGAGAAGAGUGGAAUUCCACGUGUAGCGGUGAAAUGCGUAGAGAUGUGGAGGAACACCAGUGGCGAAGGCGACUCUUUGGUCUGCAACUGACGCUGAGGCGCGAAAGCGUGGGGAGCAAACAGG
rnacentral:rRNA from 1 species